rnacentral:rRNA from 1 species
CCUACGGGUGGCUGCAGUGAGGAAUAUUGGUCAAUGGCCGGAAGCCUGAACCAGCCAUGCCGCGUGAAGGUCAGUGCCCUAUGGGCGUUAAACUUCUUUUGUGCGGGAGCAAUAAUGGUCACGUGUGGCCAGACGAGAGUACCGCACGAAUAAGCAUCGGCUAACUCCGUGCCAGCAGCCGCGGUAAUACGGGGGAUGCAAGCGUUAUCCGGGUUUAUUGGGUUUAAAGGGUGCGUAGGCUGGGAGGUAAGUCAGCGGUGAAAUGCCCCCGCUCAACGGGGUGAGGUGCCGUUGAAACUGGCGUGCUGGAAUGCGGAUGCCGUGGGAGGAAUGUGUGGUGUAGCGGUGAAAUGCAUAGAUAUCACACAGAACACCGAUUGCGAAGGCAUCUCACGAAUCCGCGAUUGACGCUGAUGCACGAAAGCGUGGGUAUCAAACAGGAUUAGAUACCCUAGUAGUC